GGCGGCGCGCCUAACCAUGCAAGUCGAACGGAGUUUGAGAGAGCUUGCUUUUUCAAACUUAGUGGCGAACGGGUGAGUAACGCGUGAGUAACCUGCCCUGGAGUGGGGGACAACAGUUGGAAACGACUGCUAAUACCGCAUAAGCCCACAGUGCCGCAUGGCACAGCGGGAAAAGGAUUUAUUCGCUUCAGGAUGGACUCGCGUCCAAUUAGCUAGUUGGUGAGGUAACGGCCCACCAAGGCGACGAUUGGUAGCCGGACUGAGAGGUUGAACGGCCACAUUGGGACUGAGACACGGCCCAGACUCCUACGGGAGGCAGCAGUGGGGGAUAUUGCACAAUGGGGGAAACCCUGAUGCAGCGACGCCGCGUGGAGGAAGAAGGUUUUCGGAUUGUAAACUCCUGUCGUUAGGGACGAUAAUGACGGUACCUAACAAGAAAGCACCGGCUAACUACGUGCCAGCAGCCGCGGUAAAACGUAGGGUGCAAGCGUUGUCCGGAAUUACUGGGUGUAAAGGGAGCGCAGGCGGACCGGCAAGUUGGAAGUGAAAUCUAUGGGCUCAACCCAUAAAUUGCUUUCAAAACUGCUGGCCUUGAGUAGUGCAGAGGUAGGUGGAAUUCCCGGUGUAGCGGUGGAAUGCGUAAAUAUCGGGAGGAACACCAGUGGCGAAGGCGACCUACUGG
rnacentral:rRNA from 1 species